rnacentral:rRNA from 1 species
GACGAACGCUGGCGGCGUGCUUAACACAUGCAAGUCGAACGGUAAGGCCCUGCUUUGGUGGUGUGCUCGAGUUGCGAACGGGUGAGUAACACGUGAGUAACCUGCCCUUUAGUGGGGGAUAACUUCUGGAAACGGUGGCUAAUACCGGAUAGUAGCUCCUGCUGCAUGGUGGGGGUUUGAAAGUUUCGGCGGUUGGGGUUGGACUCGCGGCUUAUCAGCUUGUUGGUGGUGUAGUGGAUUACCAAGGCUUUGACGGGUAGCCGGCCUGAGAGGGUGACAGGCCACAUUGGGACUGAGAUACGGGCAAGACUCCUACGGGAGGCAGCAGUGGGGAAUAUUGCACAAUGGGCGGAAGCAUGAUGCAGCAACGCCGCGUGCGGGAUGACGGCCUUCGGGUUGUAACCAGCUUUAGCGUGUGACGAAGAGUGAGUGACGGUAAUGGGUAAAGAAGCAACGGCUAACUACGUG